AUUGAACGCUGGCAGCAGGCCUCACACAUGCACGUCGAACGAGUGGCGGACGGGUGAGUAAUGUCUGGGAAACUGCCUGAUGGAGGGGGAUAACUACUGGACACGGUAGCUAAUAACGCAUACCAUCAGAUGUGCCCAGAUGGGCUUAGCUUGUUGGUGGGGUAACGGCUCACCAAGGCGACGAUCCCUAGCUGUUCUGAGAGGAUGACCAGCCACACUUGAACUGAGACACGGUCCAGACUCCUACGGGAGGCAGCAGUGUGCAAUAUUGCACAAUGGUCGCAAGCCUGAUGCAGCCAUGCCGCGUGUAUGAAGAAGGCCUUCGGGUGGUAAAGUACUUUCAGCGGGAAGGCGUUACCCGCAGAAGAAGCACCGGCUAACUCCGGGCCAGCCGCCGCGGUAAUAC
rnacentral:rRNA from 1 species